rnacentral:rRNA from 1 species
UAGGGAAUCUUCGGCAAUAGGGGCAACCCUGACCGAGCAACGCCGCGUGAGUGAAGAAGGUUUUCGGAUCGUAAAGCUCUGUUGUAAGAGAAGAACGUGUGUGAGAGUGGAAAGUUCACACAGUGACGGUAACUUACCAGAAAGGGACGGCUAACUACGUGCCAGCAGCCGCGGUAAUACGUAGGUCCCGAGCGUUGUCCGGAUUUAUUGGGCGUAAAGCGAGCGCAGGCGGUUUAAUAAGUCUGAAGUUAAAGGCAGUGGCUUAACCAUUGUUCGCUUUGGAAACUGUUAAACUUGAGUGCAGAAGGGGAGAGUGGAAUUCCAUGUGUAGCGGUGAAAUGCGUAGAUAUAUGGAGGAACACCGGUGGCGAAAGCGGCUCUCUGGUCUGUAACUGACGCUGAGGCUCGAAAGCGUGGGGAGCAAACAGG